UUGUAUUAUUGAUUAAAUGGUGUGAUUACACUCAGUUCAAUCCCAACAACCCUGGGAAUUUUAUAUGUCAGAAUUCGAUCAGAACAUAGGGGUUUGUAUUAUUCAAGAUUGAUAAUUGAUACAAGUAUGUCGGAGAAGAAAUUGAAUCUCUUUACAAGAAUGAAAAUAUGGUGGUUUCUCAUGAUGAGAGUGAGUCUAUGUAGAAUCAGUGAAAAGUUCCCUUGUUCUCUUGAAGAAGAUCCUAUUUAUAGGCAAAACAUCUCCCUCUUGUUGCUUGAUAACCGCCUUGCUUGGAGAGGAAUUCAUGGGUAGUGGGCGGUUACUUUCCUUNN
rnacentral:lncRNA from 1 species